UACGUAGGGUGCAAGCGUUGUCCGGAAUUAUUGGGCGUAAAGGGCUCGUAGGCGGUCUGUCGCGUCGGGAGUGAAAACCCAGGGCUCAACCCUGGGCCUGCUUCCGAUACGGGCAGACUAGAGGUAUGCAGGGGAGAAUGGAAUUCCUGGUGUAGCGGUGAAAUGCGCAGAUAUCAGGAGGAACACCAGUGGCGAAGGCGGUUCUCUGGGCAUUACCUGACGCUGAGGAGCGAAAGUGUGGGGAGCGAACAGG
rnacentral:rRNA from 1 species